CUCCGGGGAAUGGAUUUUAAAUGUUACCGAAACCAUUCAAUGGCGGGAACACGAACCGUCUGGUUUAUCUAACUAAAAAGGUAGCCGUUGAAAUUGGCUUUAAUGUACUUCUGCACGACAUCGGCGGUCAAUCAUUACACUGGCCAUAAAGUUGAUUUGCUUUGUCUUGGAAAUUGAUGCCGUUUAAACUCCCAACUCUUCAACUUCUCGAUUUGAAUGUAUAUAAGGCAAGAAAUCAUAGCCUACCAUCACUCAUCUUCUUUCCUUCUUCAGCCAGCCUUAAGUUACAAUUCCUAACCUUUUCUUCUUCCGUCAAAACUCAACUUUUUAACCACAUCUUCUCUUCCAUUGUUAACUCAAUUUCCUGAAAAUUUUGCCUCUCCUGACCGCCAUUCAGAUAAAGCUCCGAUGAAUUCCUCCAAGCCGAAAGAGGAACUUGAAUUCUUGUUGCCGACAUUCUUCCUGUUGGAUUCAAAUAUAAUAAUGAUUGUCACAUUUCAACCCACCUGAAAUCCGUUGACGAGAUUGAGUCGUUCAUAGAUGUUGAAACAAUUCCCAUAUUACGACGAGAUUGCAAUUUUGGCUCUGAUAUUGAUAUCAUCAAUGUUGACGAUGGGAUGCGGAUGAACCACCAUGUAGAAGGUUUCUCUAUGACAUACACCUAUCCGUUCACCAUAGGGUUCUCUUUCCCCAUUCCCCAAAUUUUAGAGGAUUUUUGCCGCCGAUACAAGGUUUGCAUUGGGCAAAUUGCACCACAGGUUUAGAGAUUAGUUUAUUGCAUUCAACUCUUGGCUAACAUAACCAAUGUUUCUUUCACUCUGGGCCACCUCAUUUACUUGUACGUCCCUCAUGUUAUCUGAGGUGAAUUAGUGCACUUAUAUCCCCGAGUUAGGCACAGUUUGAUCGAUCCAUAGGAUGAUUACGAUCGAGGCUGGUUACACCGGUUCGUCAUGAUCCGAACAGACCAGCUUCACCGUCCUUUAUCUAAUCCCUUUCAUGGAAUCCUGCUCCGAUUUCAGUCGAACCGGAACUUGUGAUAAAGAUUUUCGAAUGGGUUGUUGCAUUACUUGAUACUUCUAACAACAUAACCCGCUCUUGGAGGAGUAUGAGCUCUGAGUGGUGGAAAGGCAAAAAUCACGGUAAGUCCAAAUAUUUUUGUAGGUUUUUAGCACCUUUAAUUUCUUUAUAACUAUAUCUUUCAUAUGAGACUUCCUGUGAAGAAGCCAACUUCCAAAAAGGUUCUUUCUCGAGAUGUUGCUGCGGAGAAUGUUGCAUCCUCUAGUCGAAAGUGUAAGCAAAAAGAAGCUUUUGCUCCACCCGUAGACAUCGUCUCUUGACUCCGUACCCAGCGCCUGCUUUCAGAGGUUCCGAUUAAAACUCAACAAGGUGUUCAUCCUUCAGUAAUUAUACUUGAUGAGGAUGACCAAACCAAUGAAGUUAAUAAUCCAUCGCCAAACAGUCCCAAUACUGUGAUUGAGAAGCCAUCCGAGGAGAAUUUUGCUCCUCUUACAAAUCAACCUUUAACUGCCCCGACUUCUCCAAUCAAAGAGUAGGCUUCGAAGAACACCAUUCCGCAGGAUGAAACUGCCUCUUUGGGGUCAUCAGCCCAUCCUAAAUCUUUUGCCGCCAAGUUAGAGUCAUCUUUGACUCAACUGGAGGAUGUUUUCCUUCAGGGCCAUACUGCCACUACUUCAGCCAUAGAAGUUUCCCGUUCCUUUGCUUCCUCUCAACAAGAAGUAAAUCUUUAUGCGGAAAAGCAGCGUCUUAAAAUUGACAACGAAAGAUUGAGGUCCGACCUCCGGGAUUUCGAUUCCCUUCAAGCCUCCUUGACAUUGGAUUUAAAUGACGUAAUUGGUUCUCUAAGAGAACGAGAGAAUUUCUUACAAGCACUGACCACUUCCUACAUGGGUAUACAAAACAAGAACACCAAGUUGGAAGAAAAUAUAUCUAGCGUUCGUGAACAUCUUGUUAGUGUAGAAAUUUCCCGUGAUUGUUUCAAGGUUCGGUGUAAGAAAUCACGUUCUGCCGUGAUUUAGCCAUACUCGAAAUGCGAAGGAAUGCCUUCAAAGAAGAUAGUGCCCUAGAUUCGAUCUUCUCUCAUGACUCCUCGAAGCGAUGACUGAUGCGGAAGCGGCUGAAAUGGCCCUUAAAGAUAUUGAUGAUUUCAGAGCUUUUAGGACGAAGGAGAAAGAUUUCGGGACAUCCAAGACAGUUAAUAAUGCUUUAUAGGCUUUAGAUCUUUCCCUUUAUUGCCUUAAAACUUUUAUGGAUAGUUGUUUUAAUUCCCAAUCAUGUUUUGCCCGGUUAUUUUAACCGAA